UAGGAUAGGGUGUACUGGUAGCACGAGGAAUUUUGAAUUCUUAAGUAUAGGUUCGAUGCCUAUUGUCCUAG
rnacentral:tRNA from 1 species